GCUAUACAUGCAAGUCGAGCGAACGGACGAGAAGCUUGCUUCUCUGAUGUUAGCGGCGGACGGGUGAGUAACACGUGGAUAACCUACCUAUAAGACUGGGAUAACUUCGGGAAACCGGAGCUAAUACCGGAUAAUAUUUUGAACCGCAUGGUUCAAAAGUGAAAGACGGUCUUGCUGUCACUUAUAGAUGGAUCCGCGCUGCAUUAGCUAGUUGGUAAGGUAACGGCUUACCAAGGCAACGAUGCAUAGCCGACCUGAGAGGGUGAUCGGCCACACUGGAACUGAGACACGGUCCAGACUCCUACGGGAGGCAGCAGUAGGGAAUCUUCCGCAAUGGGCGAAAGCCUGACGGAGCAACGCCGCGUGAGUGAUGAAGGUCUUCGGAUCGUAAAACUCUGUUAUUAGGGAAGAACAUAUGUGUAAGUAACUGUGCACAUCUUGACGGUACCUAAUCAGAAAGCCACGGCUAACUACGUGCCAGCAGCCGCGGUAAUACGUAGGUGGCAAGCGUUAUCCGGAAUUAUUGGGCGUAAAGCGCGCGUAGGCGGUUUUUUAAGUCUGAUGUGAAAGCCCACGGCUCAACCGUGGAGGGUCAUUGGAAACUGGAAAACUUGAGUGCAGAAGAGGAAAGUGGAAUUCCAUGUGUAGCGGUGAAAUGCGCAGAGAUAUGGAGGAACACCAGUGGCGAAGGCGACUUUCUGGUCUGUAACUGACGCUGAUGUGCGAAAGCGUGGGGAUCAAACAGGAUUAGAUACCCUGGUAGUCCACGCCGUAAACGAUGAGUGCUAAGUGUUA
rnacentral:rRNA from 2 species